AGAGUUUGAUCAUGGCUCAGGACGAACGCUGGCGGCGUGCCUAACACAUGCAAGUCGAACGAGGUCCAUGAGGUGGCAACACCUCGGAAGACCUAGUGGCGAACGGGUGAGUAACACGUGAGGAACUUGCCCCGGAGACCGGGAUAACCCUCCGAAAGGAGGGCUAAUACCGGAUGUCUCCACCUGAUCGCAUGGUCGGGUGAAGAAAUGGAUUCCGCUCCGGGAGAGCCUCGCGGCCUAUCAGCUAGUUGGUGGGGUAACGGCCCACCAAGGCGUCGACGGGUAGCUGGUCUGAGAGGACGAUCAGCCACACUGGGACUGAGACACGGCCCAGACUCCUACGGGAGGCAGCAGUGGGGAAUCUUGCGCAAUGGGCGAAAGCCUGACGCAGCAACGCCGCGUGCGGGAUGAAGGCCCUCGGGUUGUAAACCGCUUUCAGUGGGGACGAACCAAGACGGUACCCACAGAAGAAGCCCCGGCCAACUACGUGCCAGCAGCCGCGGUAACACGUAGGGGGCAAGCGUUGUCCGGAUUUAUUGGGCGUAAAGAGCUCGUAGGCGGUUCGAUAAGUCGGGUGUGAAACCUCCAGGCUCAACCUGGAGACGCCACCCGAUACUGUCGUGACUAGAGUCCAGUAGGGGAGCGUGGAAUUCCUGGUGUAGCGGUGAAAUGCGCAGAUAUCAGGAGGAACACCAGCGGCGAAGGCGGCGCUCUGGGCUGGCACUGACGCUGAGGAGCGAAAGCGUGGGGAGCGAACAGGAUUAGAUACCCUAGUAGUCC
rnacentral:rRNA from 1 species